rnacentral:tRNA from 1 species
GGGUUAACUGUUUGUAUAGUUGGAUAUUGUUUCUCGUAGUUGCGUAUCUUUAAGGACUCAUAAUCCGUUGGUGCUCGGUUCGACUCCGAGGAGGCCCACCA